AACUUUCCUCGCCGGCGGCGGAGAGGCGCGUCCGGCCCGCUGCCAUCCCCGUGGCUCCGGGCGGGCUCCAGCCUUCCCAGCGCCCCGCCGUUCUGCGCGCGCCUCGUCUCGGCGGGUGCGCGUCUCUGCUCCCGCCUUUACCCCCCUGGGAUACGCCAGAAUGUGCCACCGCGAAAGCGUGAAACCUUUACCCGAUUGAGUUCGAGUGGCAGCUGUGAGCGCUUUCUUUAAUUCCGGUAAAAUAUUGCCGUGCUCUCGCCCUGUGCUGUCCAGGAUGCGGUCGUCGGAAUCCUUCCGUUUGAUCCCAGGUUAUGGAGCACGGAACAUCAGCCGGGCUGCGUAUAAAAUGUUAUUGCUUAGUCUUACUAAGGAAUGGAGUACUUUAAAAUGCUUGUGGAUGUAUUUGCUCCUGAAUUCUGCAGUCCAAAGAAUAUGCAUUUGAGGAACUUUUACAUUACUGUUCCCCCACUGGUGAGUAUUGUUAUUGUGUGUACCAGCACUUCAAAA